AACCCAUGGUAAAGACACCUUCUCAAUAAAUCUUUAUAACUCUCCCAUGUAUCAUAUAAUGUCUCUAAAUCGAUUUGCACAAAGAAAGAGAUGUCUUUCCUCAACUU
rfam:Gossypium hirsutum cultivar TM-1 chromosome 7, whole genome shotgun sequence